GACAGUGCAUGGUAGGCAGUUUGACUGGGGCGGUCUCCUCCCAAAGCGUAACGGAGGAGUACGAAGGUACGCUAGGUACGGUCGGAAAUCGUGCUGAUAGUGCAAUGGCAUAAGCGUGCUUAACUGCGAGACCGACAAGUCGAGCAGGUGCGAAAGCAGGUCAUAGUGAUCCGGUGGUUCUGUAUGGAAGGGCCAUCGCUCAACGGAUAAAAGGUACUCUGGGGAUAACAGGCUGAUACCGCCCAAGAGUUCAUAUCGACGGCGGUGUUUGGCACCUCGAUGUCGGCUCAUCUCAUCCUGGGGCUGUAGCCGGUCCCAAGGGUAUGGCUGUUCGCCAUUUAAAGAGGUACGUGAGCUGGGUUUAAAACGUCGUGAGACAGUUUGGUCCCUAUCUGCCGUGGGCGUUGGAUAUUUGAAGGGGGCUGCUCCUAGUACGAGAGGACCGGAGUGGACGAACCUCUGGUGUACCGGUUGUGACGCCAGUCGCAUCGCCGGGUAGCUAUGUUCGGAAGAGAUAACCGCUGAAAGCAUCUAAGCGGGAAACUCGCCUUAAGAUGAGAUAUCCCUGGAGGCUUGACCUCCUUGAAGGGUCGUUCGAGACCAGGACGUUGAUAGGUCAGGUGUGUAAGCGCAGUAAUGCGUUCAGCUAACUGAUACUAAUUGCCCGUAAGGCUUGAUCCUAUAACA
rnacentral:rRNA from 1 species